UACGAAGGGGGCUAGCGUUGCUCGGAAUCACUGGGCGUAAAGGGCGCGUAGGCGGCGUUUUAAGUCGGGGGUGAAAGCCUGUGGCUCAACCACAGAAUGGCCUUCGAUACUGGGACGCUUGAGUAUGGUAGAGGUUGGUGGAACUGCGAGUGUAAGAGGUGAAAUUCGUAGAUAUUCGCAAGAACACCGGUGGCGAAGGCGGCCAACUGGACCAUUACUGACGCUGAGGCGCGAAAGCGUGGGGGAGCAAACAGG
rnacentral:rRNA from 1 species